GGAGGUUACGGCUAUCGGUGUUCCCCUAACCCUUGCGAGUCAUAUGUUCUUCUUGAAAAUGGAGUACUGCUCAAUAACCCGUGAAUAACUUGCCCUUGGGACCGGCUUACCCCCGGGAAACUGGGGAUAAUUCCGGAUACCCUAUAUAUGCUGGAAUGCUUUAGGCUCGAAAUGGAUUCGCCUGCCCAAGGAUGGAUCUGCGGCCUAUCAGGUAUUACUGGGUGUAAGGUACCUACUACCCUACAACGGGUACGGUUUGUGAUAGCAAAAUCCCGGAUAUGGAUUCUGAGACAUGAUUCCGGUCCCUACGGGGCGCACCAA
rnacentral:rRNA from 1 species